GUGUGUGGGCGGGGUCACGCGAGUGCCGUGAGCCGCGCCGCCGGGUUAGCCGCUGUCCUGAUGCGCUCGCUUCUCGAGCGGUGGCAGAAGUCGCGCCUCGGUCGGCUUUCGUGUGGAACAGCCUGAGCUCUGCUGACUUCUUUUUUUUAGUACCUGGGAUCGAACUCGGGACCUUACUCUUACGAGGCAGGCGGCGGUACCGCUGAGCUACGUCCCCUGUCCUCUGCUAUUAUAAACCAGAAACUGGGCGGAGCGAGCGUGAGCCAAGUCCCGAGCUGUAGUCAGAGGACCCAAAGAAACAGACGUCGCGUGUCCCUCGUCCCGCUGCCUUCCCGGGGGUUAGGUCACGCCUCCCGCCCUCCAGGCUCUCUAGGUGCCAGGGCUGCCUCGGCUUCUUGAAAAGCAGAGCUUCACUUGUCUGCUUCGGUUUGCCCCCCCCACACACACACACCAGACAUCUUUCUCCUCACGAAAGUGUUCCCUGGAUGAGGACGUUCAUAAAUCCCUGUCGCCAUUAUGUAUACCAUGUUCACUGUCCCCCCCCCCCAGAAUUGGGGGUUCCAACAACCAUCUGCUUAUGGAGGACCCGCCUAAGCGAAUAUUCGGUGGAAUAACUUCGCUUGCUGAAGAUUCCCUCCCAUUUUCUCAUUGUUUCGGGUUUGUAACCUUUUAAUUCCUUUAUUAUUUGUUGGGGUUAUAACAGGAGUAAAAACACCUGUGUCCAGUCUGAUAACUUGUACUACAAGGAAAAAUUUAGUUAAAUAAAUAUUUGGCGUAGGGAGAUCCUAUUAUAGAUAUGAUUAAAACCUCCCCACCGCCAUCCCCCAAGAACUGUGAAACGGCGAGGGGUGUUUUGAGGCAAGGGGGUGAUGGGCACAGGUGAUCAAAUUUUGUUAUGUUCACAUAUGACUGUCAAGAUGAUAUUUGUAGAACUAAUAUGCACC
rnacentral:lncRNA from 1 species